CAUCCCUGCGCUCUUGCCAGCUUCCACCCUCUGUAACAUCCCAAAAUUUCAAACUUUUACAUGUGCAUUGCAUCCAUGAGCAUCAUGCCACAAUUGCAUAGUUGAAUUCAAAAUUGAAUCUCAAAAGGGCUUUAAAAGACUUUGUUUACACCCAUUUAAGCUUUGGAUUUUCAAACCAAUAGGGUUUAUGUAUAAAAGGGGUUUAAUGCAUAUAUAAGCUAUCCCAUAUUUGUUUUGGAUAAUUAUUUGGAGUUGAAAAAGUAUUUUUUUUUUAUUCAAUAGAUAUAUAGCCCUAAAGGCAUUUAUAGGGCAAAUGUAUUUUUGUAUGUUUUAUUUUGAGGGAAAACUACUCCCAAAAGUUGUAUCUUGAUAGAACAUGAUUUUACAAAUUUUCUGGAUUUUAUUUGGACCAUUUUGGAGUUCAAAAUCAAAAGAUAUCAAAGAUUUGAGAAAAACAGAAAAAAAGAAGAAGAAGAAAACCGGACC
rnacentral:lncRNA from 1 species